GCCAUCAUAGCUCAGUGGCAGAGUACUGGUCUUGUAAACCAGGGGUAGUGAGUUCGAUCCUCACUGGUGUAA
rnacentral:tRNA from 1 species